rnacentral:rRNA from 1 species
CUUGGCGGCCAUAGCGCAGCGGUCCCACCUGAUCCCAUGCCGAACUCAGAAGUGAAACGUUGUAGCGCC